AGUGAACGCUGGCGGUAGGCCUAACACAUGCAAGUCGAACGGCAGCACAGGAGAGCUUGCUCUCUGGGUGGCGAGUGGCGGACGGGUGAGGAAUACAUCGGAAUCUACUCUGUCGUGGGGGAUAACGUAGGGAAACUUACGCUAAUACCGCAUACGACCUACGGGUGAAAGCAGGGGACCUUCGGGCCUUGCGCGAUUGAAUGAGCCGGUGUCGGAUUAGCGAGUUGGCGGGGUAAAGGCCCACCAAGGCGACGAUCCGUAGCUGGUCUGAGAGGAUGAUCAGCCACACUGGAACUGAGACACGGGCCAGACUCCUACGGGAGGCAGCAGUGGGGAAUAUUGGACAAUGGGCGCAAGCCUGAUCCAGCCAUACCGCGUGGGUGAAGAAGGCCUUCGGGUUGUAAAGCCCUUUUGUUGGGAAAGAAAUCCAGCUGGCUAAUACCCGGUUGGGAUGACGGUACCCAAAGAAUAAGCACCGGCUAACUUCGUGCCAGCCGCCGCGGUAA
rnacentral:rRNA from 1 species